GCGCGUAGUGCAGCUCGUAGUCGCACGCUGUGGCCGCAAAGGCAGAGGCGAGGAGAGGCAGGGCAGCUUACGGCGGAAGCGGAGUGAGGCGGGGGCACUGCGGAGGCGGAGGUGCGUCUGGCUCGAAGACGGCGGCUCAGCAGUAGGUGGAAGGCCGGCUGAGGUGAGGCUCGGUAGCUGGAGACGAGGUUGCAACCGCGGAAGCGCGCGGCCGCGGUCAGAGUCGGCUGAAACACGGCGACCGCAACUCGUCGCGGGAAGGCGACUUGAGGCAAGGCGGCUCGAGGCCGGCCACGGCAAGGGCGGCGACGAGGUCGGGCGACUCGAGGCGGCGCGGUGGCAGAGGCGGGUCGAGGCCGGGGGCUCGAGGGAGAGGCAGGCCCGCGGGCCGACUCGUCGCGGAGGUGACGCUGCGUCGGCAGAGGCGUGCCAGGCAGGCCAUGAUGGGGUGAGCCACGGCGGCGCCGGCUGCUGCUCGCAGCAGGGUCAAGGCGGCGGCGACUUGAAGCCGCGUAGAGAGCCGCCGUGGCGAGGCGAGGUCGAAGUGGUAGCGGGCGGCUCGCGGCAGGGGCGCUUUGGCACUAGAGGUGGCUUGGAGGCCCCCCGACGGUGAGCGAUGCGGUGAAGCCACGGCGAAGGUGACCGAGGCGCAUGCCAGCGCGGAAGGAAGUGGUUGUCCAGCUCGAGGCGCGGUGCAGCGGAGCACGUGGAGGCGGCUGGGCGCGGCGCGGCCGUGGACAGAGGCGUGUUAUUGCGGAUGGGCACGGGCCGGAGUGGAAGCGCUUGGGCCGGAGCGGGGCUCGAGGCUGCUCUGGCGAGGGCGGCUCGCAGGCAAAGGCAGCGACGUGGUGGUGGCUCGGCCACAGCCGGUGGCUCGAAGGAGAAGACCCAGGCGGAGGCCGAGUCCGUGGCCUCAUCCACUUCCCGUCGUAGCCUUCCCUUUUUUCCGCAAAUGAUAACGCCCACAUGCGGCAUGAAGAAAUAUGGCCGUGGAGUAACUGGUCCCGAGCACAUAUGCUUGGGAUAUCUGGGCCAAGCCUUUAUACGGAGAGUUUAGAAACGCUGGUAAAUGUGUACCGUGUUAUGGAAUAUAUACGUGUCAGGCCUUGUUUGUGGGCCAGGUUUGGGGCAUAGGCAUAGUGGUUUCUGGACGGCCGUCUUGCACUAACGGGCUGAGCCGUGGCCCAGGUUCGCGUAUUUCAGUCUGAUCUAUGGCUCGGAUAAGUCGCUCCUGUCAGAGCGAGUCAGCCUCGAAUGGAUGUCGAGAGUCUUCUUCCCCAAUGCGAUAACUCGCAAGGGAGAGGCUGAGGGAGUGUGAGAACAGGUGACGGACGCGCAAUGGAGUUCCUCAUGCAGAGAUCGACUCUGAUUGAAAAGCUCGGGGAGAGUUGGUCCCGGGAGAUACACUGGCGGAUGGUACCAGGCGGACGUUGGUAGAGGUGGCGCCGCCGGAGGGCACGAGUGUGAGCGAUGAAGGGUUGAUCUGAGGCGCAUCUGGACUGGCAAGGAGCAAAGAUGGUCGAAUUUGCAGGGCGGCUCAAGCUGCAGCAGGUAGAAGGUUCGCCUCCGACUUCUGAGUUGUCGACAUGGAAGAUGAAUCCCCAGGCUCCUGGAUGGAAUAAGAGGCUGAGAAUUUGUGUUGCCGCUCCUAGCAGGACCGCUUUCCCAAAAUCGCGUUAGUGCAUUUGAGAAGGCAGUAAAGGUGUUCAUAGAAAACCCGACUGAAAAUGUUAUCUCUCCAGCGCUGGGUACUACUUUUGACUCGCUGGGUGAAGCAUAUGAUUUCUACAACUUGUAUCCUUGGGAGAAGGGGCUUGGGAUUAGGUAUGGUAAAAUCCAGCUCAAUGAUGAGAGGAGGAAGUGUAUGCAGGAAAUUUUCUGUGGAUGCUCGGUAAGGAACAACAUUCCGCUAGGUGAUGCUAGUUUACUGGAUGCUGUUCUGGAGAUCAACGCAAUGCAUGUUCAUACUUUUCAGGCAUCAUCAGCUUGCUCGGCAACUUGGAGCAGAGCUUGAUGCGGAAUAUGAGAUGGAGAGAGCAACCCGCGCACCGACACUGAAUGUGCAGACGGGUUUGGUUCAAGGGGUUAUUGACAUCUCCGACGAUGAAAUCAAAGAUGAAGUUGAUUUGGAAGAAAGCAAUGAUGACGUUGAUUCAAAAGAAUGGUCUAAUGAUCCUAAGCAUGGUAAUCUUAUUGAGACAAACAGAAGGCUAAGGGAGCAAGAGUAGAAAGAUGCAGAAGUCGUGAAGAUGUAUCAAGAAAUGUAUGAUAAAAAUGUUGAUCUGCAAGAAGAACAAGGCCGUGAGGUUGCAAUCAUGUGUCAAAAAAUGUAUGAUCAAAAUGGUACCGAAGCUCAGAUCGCCAAUGCAUUAGCAACAUAAAACUUGCUCAGGAGGUUGAGCCUGCAGGUCAAGAAACAAGCCCCACAGAGGGUGGCCAUAGAGGACAGGCGUACAUUAGUGGUGCAUCCCCGAUAAGGAACAUGAGUUCCCUAAAGGGGCUAUGGAGACGGAAAGGGAAGAAGAAGUGGAACAGAGGAUCAAAGAGGAAGCAGAAGGUGUGGUUCUCCAACAUUGUGGAGACCAUAUGCCUAUCAGAUUCCUCUGAGAGCGAAGACAGUUCUAGCGAUGAUGGAACACAUCAAGCAGGCAUGACGAUGAGCUCAUACAUCUUCCUGGUAGCAAUAAAAGAUGGUUUUGAUACAUCGGUGGCAAAUGACAUUCUGUCGGCGAGGUCAAUUAGGGCGGAAGAGCCACGGAUAGCCAUGUCAAGAAAUCCAGCAAGCAGUGGAGAUGUUGUUGCUCCGCACAGACGUGCAAGGAAGUUAUGUGCAAGGAAGAAGCUGAGGAAGUCAUGGCCGCCGAUCUAGUUUCUUGCGGUGCGGUUGGAGAGGAGAAGAGCAUCAAGAUGCAGGCAGACGCAGACAUCCGCAAGCCCACUUUGUCCACGCUGCAAAAAAGGUAAACAGACUCGUGGAAGAGCCACAGGAUUUAAGUGGGUUGGACAGACUUAUCCUGCCUGAUGUGCUAGGCCUGCCUAGCCUGCGAGGAGAGAGCACAUAUAAGUGAAUAGAUUGGCGGCUGGUAGGGCAAGCUUCCGCCGUUCCCCACAGCUAGGUCGGCGUCUCGCUCAUCCCUGCUGGCGCCACCCCUGUUUCCCGCUCGUCCCCGUGUGCACUGUCUGUCUCCGCCCCUACUACCUUCUCGCAGCCACCCGUGGAUCAAGAUGCCAUGUGUUGCGGUGGAUGAGCACAAGAAUGCAGCAGAGGAGGAAAAGAAUCCUGCGUGGGAGGGUGAGGAGGACAAGAAUCCGGCGAGAAAGGAGGUGCAGUUCAAGGGAAGCAGCUGGUCUUCCCUGGCAUUAGAAAGACUACCAGUGUGGACACAACAAGUAUGAAGUAACUGAAGAAGAUAGAAGGACAUUAACCGGACCUAGCGAAGAUAGUGUAUUAGUGUGUUUCAGUGGGUGUAAACAGUUAACUGUUGAGGUUGAUGCUGCCAACUUUAAGGCUGCAAUUUCUACUUUUGGGUUUGUUUGACAAACGAAAUGAUGUUCCUUGCUGAGAAAAUUCAUCCAUAUCCCUUUGUCCUUGAAU